AGCAGCCGCGGUAAUUCCAGCUCCAAUAGCGUAUAUUAAAGUUGUUGCAGUUAAAAAGCUCGUAGUUGAACUUCAGGCCUGUCCAGACGGUCCGCCUUAAUUGGUGUGUACUGUCCUUGGGUGGGUCCUACCUUCUGGCGAAGCGGCAUGGCCUUAAUUGGUUGUGUCGGGGAACCAGGACUUUUACUGUGAAAAAAAUUAGAGUGUUCAAAGCAGGCAAAUAUGCUCGAAUACAUUAGCAUGGAAUAAUGGAAUAGGACGAUGGUUCUAUUUUGUUGGUUCUAGGACCGUUGUAAUGAUUAAUAGGGAUAGUUGGGGGCAUUAGUAUUCAAUUGUCAGAGGUGAAAUUCUUGGAUUUAUUGAAGACUAACUACUGCGAAAGCAUUUGCCAAGGAUGUUUUCAUUAAUCAAGAACGAAAGUUAGGGGAUCGAAGACGAUCAGAUACCGUCGUAGUCUUAACCAUAAACUAUGCCGA
rnacentral:rRNA from 1 species